rnacentral:rRNA from 1 species
AACGAACGCUGGCGGCAUGCCUAACACAUGCAAGUCGAACGAGACCUUCGGGCCUAGUGGCGCACGGGUGCGUAACGCGUGGGAAUCUGCCCUUCGGUUGGGAAUAACUGAGAGAAAUUUCAGCUAAUACCUUAUAAUGUCUUCGGACCAAAGAUUUAUCGCCGAGGGAUGAGCCCGCGUAGGAUUAGGUAGUUGGUGGGGUAAUGGCCUACCAAGCCGACGAUCCUUAGCUGGUCUGAGAGGAUGAUCAGCCACACUGGGACUGAGACACGGCCCAGACUCCUACGGGAGGCAGCAGUGGGGAAUAUUGGACAAUGGGCGAAAGCCUGAUCCAGCAAUGCCGCGUGAGUGAUGAAGGCCUUAGGGUUGUAAAGCUCUUUUACCCGGGAUGAUAAUGACAGUACCGGGAGAAUAAGCUCCGGCUAACUCCGUG